GUGGUACCUGCAGGGAGAAAGUUCAUGAUGAAUUCAGGUCAACUGUGGAAGUAAGAAAGGGACAUUUGAUAUUCUCCUGAGGCAUUAGCUUUUCAAUACCUCCUUAUCUUCUUAGAUGAAAUUUAUAAGUUAAUUUCCCCCCAAUUUUGAGUGACUUUGGACAGUUUAUUUUUGGCUAGAAAUGAAACGAUCCAGGGAUAAUAAUGAGAUCAUAAAAUAUCUGCCUAAUAUGUGCACUUAGUAGCUACAAAAAUUCUAAGUUUAUGAUGAUUUUAUUGUUUGAAUCACAAAAACAUUUAUUAAAUAUCUGAUUACCCUAGGAGACACAUAAAAAGGACAUCCUAAGCAUAAUCCCUUAACCUCUCUGUAGUUCCUGUUUAAGAAAGUUGACUUAAAUGUAAUAAAUAUGGAUGAUGAAUAAAAAAUAUUGAAUUGAUAUAUAAAUAUAUACAACUACCAUGACUGAAAAUUAAAAAAAAAAAAGACUGGUGGUACUUUUUGGUGAAGUCAGUACAUACGUAAAGCAAUGGAAAUUUUCAUAUAUUACUGAUGGGGGAGUAAAAUGUAAAGAUAAUUUGGAAAGCUGUUUUUCAUACAAUGAAAUAUAUACCUAUCUUCUGAUUGAGAAUUUGACUUGUACAAAACAAGAAUGCUCAUAGCAGCUUUAUUCUUAACAGCCAAAUCUUAGAAAGAAUCCACAUAUCCAUCAGUAGGAAUAUGGAUAAACAAGAUAUGGCAUAUCUGAAUUCUACUCAGCAGAAAAAAACACAAAAACAAAAAAAAAACCCACAAAAACAAACAAACAAAAAACCUCAUCAAUGCAACAAAAUGCAUUGGUCUCAAAAAAUGUCGAGUGAAAAAAAUGCAGCUACAACUAUAUACUAUAGAUUUCCAUUUAUAUGACAUUCAAGGCUAUAAACUAUAGAUUUCCAUUUAUAUGACACGCAAGGAUAGCUGAACGAAGUCAGACCAAGAAAGACAAACACCAUAUGAUUUCACUUAUAGGUGGAGUCUAAAAAACAAAGCAAGUGAAGGAACAAACAGAAAGCAGAAUCGGACCCAUAAAUACAGAGAACCAAAUGAAGAUUGCCAGAGGGGAGGAGAAUGGGGGUAUGCGCAAAAUGGGUGAAGGAGAGUGGGCGAUACAGGCUUCCAGCGAUGGAAUGGAUAAUUCAUGGGAAUGAAAGGCACAGCAUAGGAAAUAUAAUCCGUGGUAGUGUAAGAGCAUGGUGUGACAGAGGGUCCUACAUUAUGGUGAGCAUAGCAUAACAUAAAGGGGUGUAGAAUUACUAUGUUGUACACCUGAAAAUAAUGUAACAUUAUGUGUUACCUAUACUCAAAAAAAAAAAAGUUGAAUUAAACUAUGGCAACAGAAAUCAGAAAAGUAAUUGCUUUUAUGUGUGUAGGAAAAGUAAUUUGGCUGGAAAGAAACACAGGGGAACUUUCUAGGGUGAAAUUUCAAAUCUUGAUUGGAGUUGUUAUGGAACUCAUUAAAUGGCAUACUUUUGAUUUGUGCGUCUGUGGCAUGUCAAUUAUGCCUCAAUUAAAAUGAUAUUUGAGUGAAGAGCAAAAUAUUUGAAUUUUUCAAGAGAAGAUAGUAGAGGAAACAUAACAAUAUUAUACAGCAAAUGUUAGGUAGAAGUUGAUUUUUUUCAUGUACCUUCUGUAUAAUGCUGAAACGAAGCAAAAAUUUGAUUUGAUUUCACCAAUAAGAAAUAAUUUUGUGGAAUAUGAACAUGAUGUGAAUGAUGAUUCUUAGUUUAAAAAAAAACUACAAGAAUAUCUGCUUUAGAAUAUAAAUAAGUAAUCAAGAACGGAGAGAAGAAGAUUUUGUGACCAGUGAUUGAAUUUGAUUUUUGCUAGGAUGACCCCUCAGGGUUUCUAAAAUUUGGCCUCACAAGAGAUACAUAGUUCCCUAUUAGGUUCUCAAAAACUGAAACGUAAAAUGGCCACUUGAAUGAUACUAGAAAUUACCAUACAAAAUAGCAUCGAAUGCAAACAUAUCAUGUUUUUCUAUAUGCUAUGAUUUCCAUAAUUAAAAGCAUACUAAAAGAGGACAUAUCUUGAGAUUCUUGUAUUUCUUUUCCUAAAAACAUUUCUCCGAAGUGAAACUGAGCACAGAGGUGUGUUUUCUUUCAUUGUUCACUGGUUAUCAUUUUUGCUUCUGGGGAUUGUUCUUUCCCAGCAUAGGUCUGCAUUGGGGUUUUGCAAGAGAAGCUUUUACUUCACUCCUCUCUAGGUCUAUUUCUCUCAGCUUCUCAAAGCAAAUCUUCCUUUUUUUUUUUUUUUUUUUUACCAGCAUACAACUAUCACCGGAAGCUGCCCUUGGUAGAUAGGGUAGCAAGUUCAGAACUGUCUGUCUAGUUUCACUUCUCCCCAUGUGAGAGUCAAUCAUGCUGUUUAGACUCAAUGCAGCAAGAGUUGUGGUUCCUCGGCAAACACUAACUCAUCUAUGUAGCUCCCGGACUCAGAGCCAGCCUAGCUCAGUCUAUUGGCUUAUCCACAGGCAAAAGGUGGAGGUGAUUCUCAGACUGUAUGUUUCUCCAUUAGUGAGGGCUAUUGUUACUCACUGUUUGAUUUAUCACCUAGGCAACAAAACACUCCCCUUACAGGAUACUUCCGCUCUGAUUAUGGGCCCUGUUCAUUAAUGAAGAAAUUGAAGCUAAAUCCAUGAUUAAAUACCAAGUCAUCCAAAGGUGAUGCCCAAUGAUGGCUUACAGUAAUAAAGCAACUACAAGGGCAGCAUAAACUAAACACUCAAUAGAAAAUUGGAGAACUCGGGAAAAGUUGCGGAUUCCUGAAUUAGGUCCUUCGUUGUGCAACUAUGAUCUCUACUUACUGGGUGAUUUUAUUAUUAUGUACGUUAUUUCUUUUCAGCAGCUCAACUGGGCCAUAACAUUAUGGUUACCUAGCUACCAGGAAUCUUUGCGGCUUGCACUUCUUAUGCACACUUGAUUGUGUGUACUUAGUACAAGAUGGGUUUAUCAGAAGCGAUUGGUGUCUUCCUAACAUAAACCAGUCUAGCAGACACAGGCUCAGAAAACAAUCCCGCUCUCCAGACCGUUCAGCUCUGCUGUUCAUGUUAUAAUGCACCCUUUGAUUACCAGGUAACUUUGCCUAAAAGUAAGUUUGGGGGGCACCUCAUUAAUUGGAGAGGAAGAAGGCUAAAUUAAAAAAAAAACAAACAAGCCUCACAGAAACACAUUAUAAGAAAAAAAAAUGGGAGCGUUCUGGUAACAGGAAAGAUAAUAAAAGUCUGUGGACAGAAUAGGCAAAGAGAAGAGGGGAAAAAGUAAAUAGCUAAGAUAAUCACAUUUUGAUGUAUUUAGAUGAAAAACAGAAGAAAGGAAGAACCAUGUGUGACUCAUGUCGAAUCUGAAGCCAGUGAUUAGAGGGUGAAGCAGAAUGAUGAAAUAGAGGAAGAGUUCUAUGAAGGGUGCAGAAGCAGAAGAUUGCCCUUUCAAGAACUUUUCGUGACCUUCUCCUAAGAAACUACCACCGGGCCCGGUAAAUGUUCAGAUAUGCAUCCGUCUAUCCUCUCAAAGGUUGGAAACCUUCAUUGCCAGCAACUGGAGGAUGCUGUCACGAGAAUACAACGAAGCAAACAGAAAGCCUACAAAGACACAGGUGAAGACAACGAAGAAUGUAAUUGUUCAUGUGGAAGGCCCAGAAAAGUUUUGUAAAGAGAGGCUGUGCUUCCUGAAGUGCCUACAGAUGGAUAUGGAAAAAGGAUGCGGAAUGCACUGGGCCAGUGAGCUUUCCAGGAGCCCUGAAAGGAGGUGGACCAUGGAGAAAGUCAGCCUGUGAUUGUCUCAUGUCCGUUGAAAAGUAAAGACCACAAGAUAAUGACGGACAGUGGGUGAUCCUCUCCCAGGCUUGGAUGCUCAGUCAGGCUAUGGUGUUUGCCAGAAAUCAGUGAUAUUUCAGAAUGUUGGAAGGUGACCCCAACCGGAACUCGUGUAUUUUUUGUCACUUCAAAGCACCUAUGGACAGUCCUUUGCUUUUCCAUACAAGAAUAAGCUUAGGAAUGUUUUGUUUCAUUCGAGGUCAGGCUGCCUGCAGAUAUAGACCCUUUCCUCUGCUGCCUUAUUGCCAGGUACAUUAAAUACAGUAUAUGACAAGAGUUUAUUAAUACCGUACUGGGGUCAACAUCCGUACAAGUUCAUACAAUGGCCCCCAUGCAGAAAAAGGUUGAAAAGAAAGGCAGUAAGAAAAAGGAUAUGAUUACGGUGGAGGUUAAAAAGGAUAUCAGCAAGAAGUAUGAAUUAGGUACGCAAGUGGCCGAAAUUGCAAGAUUUCAUAAGGAGUCUACGUCUGCAUCUCGUCUGAACAAGAGGAGGAGAAAAAGGCAGAAGACACCUUCACUUCAACUGACAUUAGGGAGAUGUGUCAAAUGUGGGAAACAGUGCAAAAUUUUGUAGACAAGCACCACCUGAAUAAAGAGUAGCAGUGCAAGUGAUGAAUCGGUUUAAUGACAAUGCAACGUCACAGUUUCGCAAAAUCCUCAAAAGGAGGCAAAAGCAAGUGUCGUUGAAUAGGUUCUUGUUAAA